UGUUUGAAUUCAACUUUAAAACGUUGAAAAUCUCUAAAAAAGCUCGACAGCUUAUCUCGUCACUUAUUAUCAUUCUUAUAGACAGUACUCGCUACUGUUUUUGCGCGAUGUUAGCUCACUUUAUAACAACUGCUAUACACAUAGCGGAGGCUGCUAUUGUAGUGGGGUCAUGUUCAUUUUGUUAGGGACAUAACAGACAUCGCUGUCUCAGUGGGGUGAUAGUAGACAUCGAAUACUGUAGCAGGGUAGAAUAUUUUGAAUUGCUUCACUGUAAUUGGGUUCCCUGCAUUCCGCUAAUUUCAACAAAUUUAGGAGUCUUGCUGCACACGAAAACAAUAAUCAUUUGGGGCAAUUGACUCACUCUUUAAUCAUUGGUCUAUUUAGAGUGGGAUUUCAAAUCCGGUGUUUCUUUAUCAUAUUCGCACAACUCGGUCUCUAUUGUUUCUUUUUAUUACUGCCAUUUUUUCUUCGCUUUAGGCUUUUGAAAAAUAUUUGCCGCGCGCGUCCCAUUUCGACUCAGGGUGUAGUAGUUUGAUGUUGUUUCUGCGCUAUUUUACGCUCAGUUUUAGACAACAGUAAAGGUCAGAGAUAGAUAACUAGGCUUUGGCUUUUAUAUUGUCGACGGUAGAACGUUUGAUUAGGUUUAGUACUGCCAAUUAUUCAGUAUAGACACUGUCACUUAUUUUUUUGGUCAAUAUAUAUAUACAACAAUACAUUUAAAAAUUUUCGUCAAAAAGAUGAGCGUCAUUUUCUUUUUUUCUGAGGGAGCUUGCGCAAACAAGGCCACGUGUACUCAGAAGCAAAGAAGACUAAUCUCUGAACAAAUUUAUGAGCGACCACUAAAUGCUAAGAGCUACUUACAAUUAUAAAGAACUAUAGACCUGAAUUGCACGUUGAUAAUUACCGAUUCACGCGAAAUUGAAAUAGUCAGAAAUACAGUUACACAAAGUAGAGAAUUCGUCUCACCUGAUGUUCUUUAAAAAAUUUUUGAUAUUUUUCUGCUUUCCAAUAGUAUUGCUUGUAUUAAUUAAAAGUAUAUAUUAGGUAUUGCCUGUUGGCACGAAAAAACAACUUUUCAAUGUUGCAAUUGCACUGUUAUGAUUUGCUAAACUUUUAAUUGCCUUUUUCUUGAAAGUACCUUUUGCGUUUCGUGGCGCCCCAUAUUUCAUACUAAAUGAUUAAUGCAUUGCAGUGUUAUGAUUUGCUGGAUUCUGCUGGAUUGUAUUUUUUUUAAUUUUUGAGUCUCGCCUGAUAUUUCAUACUAAACUUUUGUAUUCGAAAUUCACGUCACGCUUUUUUGCAUGCAUAUGUAUAUCUCAGCAUUGCUUGUUGUGCUUUGGGUGUGUUACAUAAUUCGUUCGUCAGUUAUUCUUUGUAGGCGCACGGGAAUUGACGGUGAAGAAUAUAGUAACUGACCACGACGGCGACUAGUCCAGCAAUCACUUAAUUAUCCUUCUCUGAUUUGGACCCGAUUUUGCAAUCAAGUACGAAUUCUGCAGUCCGGUAUCUUAUUUCUUACAACCACAACUCGGACCAAAAGGGAUGAGGAAACCAGAAAAAAAAAAUGAUCUGCGAUAUUGCCACUGGUGGUUGAUGGUCGCUACUUUUCGAUAGAAAUGAGCAGGAAUAAAAGCGGGGAAGAAACUGAAAACAAAUGAUCUUCGAUAUUGUCACAGCUAGUUGGUGGUCGCGACUGCUCGAUAUUAAUUUGCAGGACGAAAGAUUGAACAAGAGCGUAUAGAAAAGGGUUUUUUGAUGCGUCAUAUGGCCACGGCUGGUUGGUGGUUGCGAGUUGCGACUGGACAAUGCACAUAGACAGGUCAUAUCGAGAAUCCAUGCAAGUUCAACGGAAUAAUGGUGGAUAAAUAAUCUGUCGUGAAGCGAAUGUGCUAUUGGUGAGUUACAUUUUACUAUUUUCUAAAGACUAUGAAUGCGCAGAAAAAUGACGAGAAUACACAGGAUGAAGUGGGGGCGAUUUUCACUGGACGACAACAUUUAGAAUAGAGUUAUUGAAAAUACCUGUAAAGAAGAAUGAACGGUUCUCGGCUACGAAAGAUUGUUGAUGUUUUACAUUAUAUUUAUUCGUAUAUACAUAUUUUUUCUAUAUAUAGCUUAUUUUGGGGUGAAUCUUGUAUAUUCCUAUAUUUAUUUACUGAAAAUACAGAAAAUUCCGUCUAUUUGGACAACAUCUGGGCAGGUAAUUGUUUGCUUCAAAGUCCCUUUAAAUUUUAAAAUUUACCCAUUGUUAUGCAACCAUUAACACCCGAUGAUAUGUCAUUCACCAAUUGUCAUGACAGCAUAUAAGCUCAUGAUAUAAUAUGCAUCUAUUAUUGUUAAAUAAGCAAUCUGAUAUGCAUAAAGUCCCUCAAAAGUUCAAAUUUACCCAUUGUUAUGCAACCAAUACCACCCGAUGAUAGAUCAUUUAUGAAUUGUCCUGCUGACUGGCAUAUUAGCUCAUAAUAUCAUUUAUUAAAUUGCGUGUGAUUUUACCAGCAGUUGCAAUCUGAUAUGCAUUUUAUUUGUAUUUCAUUAUGAUAUUAUUGCUAUUGGUUAAAAUAUUCUGGAGUCUCUGGCGACGGUCGAAGUCGAGGUAAUUUAAGCCGGCAUAAACUUUUGAACUCUUUCAGUCUGGAGUCAAUUUCGAUAGCGUAUCGUGUAGACAAGAUUUCACAGCUGGCAAUUGGAAAAGCUUGCAUACCCCACCCAACAAAUUUAAUCUUUAUCUAAAUAUUAAUUUUCAUUUCGACGUAAUUAAAUAUAACUAAUUUAGUUCGAAUAAUAUACCCUUUGUGUCUGUAAUAAAAUAUAUUCCCUCGACUAAUAUAUGAAUGAACUAAAUGAAAUACUAGAAUUCCCACAUUCGGCUAUGCCUUAUGCCAAAUUUAAAGCUAAACCACUUGAGAAUGGUAUCGAGCACAUUAAACAUCAUUGCUUUGAUUAUAUUAUGUUAUAUUUUUCAAACAGUUUUCUAUUCGGCAUGUGAGCACCCCUUUUUUCAAAGAAAAUUCUUUAAAAUAAGAUCCCAAUUAAAUUAAACGUUUUAUUAUUGGAUUUUUUUAAUGCUUGCAUUGUUUCGCUUCUUUUUGCUGUUUGUUUGUUCGCUUUAUUUUACAUAGGUUUUUGAAAUAUUUUCUGUGUGAACUUGAACUUGAUAUUUUUUGUAUUUUUCAGUACUUGU